rnacentral:rRNA from 1 species
AUUGAACGCUGGCGGCAUGCCUUACACAUGCAAGUCGAACGGUAACGGGCCUUCGGGUGCCGACGAGUGGCGAACGGGUGAGUAAUACAUCGGAACGUGCCCGAUCGUGGGGGAUAACGAGGCGAAAGCUUUGCUAAUACCGCAUACGAUCUACGGAUGAAAGCAGGGGACCGCAAGGCCUUGCGCGGACGGAGCGGCCGAUGGCAGAUUAGGUAGUUGGUGGGAUAAAAGCUUACCAAGCCGACGAUCUGUAGCUGGUCUGAGAGGAUGAUCAGCCACACUGGGACUGAGACACGGCCCAGACUCCUACGGGAGGCAGCAGUGGGGAAUUUUGGACAAUGGGCGCAAGCCUGAUCCAGCCAUGCCGCGUGCAGGAUGAAGGUCUUCGGGUUGUAAACUGCUUUUGUACGGAACGAAAAGCCUUCUUUUAAUACAGGAGGGUCAUGACGGUACCGUAAGAAUAAGCACCGGCUAACUACGUG